ensembl:lncRNA
UUUCUAUUCAGGGGAAAAGAGAGGGUUUUUCUGGUGGCUCAGAUGGUAAAGAAUUUGCCUUCAAUGCAGGAAACCUGGGUUCAAUCUCCAGAUUGGGAAGAUCCCCUGGAGAAGGGAGGGGAAAGAGAAACUUCUACAGCUGGAUGAAGCUGUGGAUAUGUUCUAGAUUCUGGGCCAUCCUGACUCCCUGAGCAGCCCAAAUAGUUAUUUGGUAGGUAGACAGGCUGUGAGGGGAGGUGGAGAGGUCCAUACAUAACGAAGAAAAAUGGAAUUAAGAACUAGAAGUCUCCUUCAUUGGGGCCACUGGAGUGAAUCAAGAAAACAUCCAAAAAUCCUCGGCAAUCAAGAAGCAAACUGACUGAGCUGAGCUGAGCUGAAUCUCAUUUCACAUGCCUCCCCAAGGUGAGCUCUCGAGGACCUAAGACGAACAGAGGGUCCGAGCCACUGACAGGAGCCUCUGAGCAACCAUCAGACGCGUAGGUUGUUUCCAUAUCUUUGGCGACUGUGGAUAAUGCUGAAGGAACAUGGGAGUACAGACACUCAAGAUCCAGAUUUCAUUUCCUUCAGAUAAAUACUCAAAAGUGGAAUUGCUGAAUAACAGGGUAGUUUUAUCUUUAAUUUUUUGAGGAGUCUCCAUACUGUUUUCCAUAGUGGCUUCAUCAAUUUACGAUUCCCAACAGUGCACAAGGGUUUCCUUUUCUCCACAUCCUUACCAACGUUGCUUUUUGAUAAAACAAUGUCUGCUAUUGCUUUCUUUUUGAUAAUAGCCAUCUUAACAAACAUGAGAUAGUAUCUCAUUGUGAUUUGGGGUUUGCAUUUUCUUAAUGAUUAGUGAUGUUGAACACUUUUUCCUAUACCCAUUGGCCAUUUGUGUCCUUUCUAUUGGAAAAUAUCUAUGUAGGUGUUUUGACCAUUUCUUAACUAGAUUAAGUUUUUUUUGCUAUCAAGUUGUAUGAAUUUCUUAACAAUUUUUGAUAUUAACUUCUUAUCAGAUAUAUGG